UACGGAGGGGGCUAGCGUUGUUCGGAAUUACUGGGCGUAAAGCGCACGUAGGCGGAUCAGAGAGUCAGAGGUGAAAUCCCAGGGCUCAACCUUGGAACUGCCUUUGAAACUCCUGAUCUUGAGGUCGAGAGAGGUGAGUGGAAUUCCGAGCGUAGAGGUGAAAUUCGUAGAUAUUCGGAAGAACACCAGUGGCGAAGGCGGCUCACUGGCUCAAUACUGACGCUGAGGUGCGAAAGCGUGGGGAGCAAACAGG
rnacentral:rRNA from 1 species